rnacentral:tRNA from 1 species
CGCUGGCGAGCAGGGUUUGCGCGCGGGCCUCGCGGUCGCCGCGCGACACGCCGGA